rnacentral:rRNA from 1 species
UACGUAGGUGGCAAGCGUUGUCCGGAUUUACUGGGCGUAAAGAGCGCGCAGGCGGUCGUUCAAGUCGCGUGUGAAAGCCCCCGGCUCAACUGGGGAGGGUCACGCGAUACUGAUCGACUCGAAGGCAGGAGAGGGUAGUGGAAUUCCCAGUGUAGAGGUGAAAUUCGUAGAUAUCGAGAGGAACACCGAUGGCGAAGACGGCCUUCUGAACAAUGACUGACGCUGAGACGCGAAAGCGUGGGGAGCAAACAGG